UACAUAGGGUGCAAGCGUUAUCCGGAAUUAUUGGGCGUAAAGCGUUCGUAGGUGGUGUAUUAAGUCUGGUGUUAAAGCCUGAAGCUCAACUUCAGCACGCAUUGGAUACUGAUAUACUAGAGUUAUGUAGAGGUUAGUGGAAUUCCGUAUGGAGCGGUGGAAUGCGUAGAUAUACGGAGGAACACCAAUGGCGAAGGCAACUAACUGGGCAUAUACUGACACUGAGGGACGAAAGCGUGGGGAGCAAACAGG
rnacentral:rRNA from 1 species